GAGUUUGAUCUUGGCUCAGGAUGAACGCUGGCGGCGUGCCUAACACAUGCAAGUCGAACGAAGCAAUCGGGAUGAAGUUUUCGGAUGGAUUCCUGGUUGACUGAGUGGCGGACGGGUGAGUAACGCGUGGAUAACCUGCCUCACACUGGGGGAUAACAGUUAGAAAUGGCUGCUAAUACCGCAUAAGCGCACAGUACCGCAUGGUACGGUGUGAAAAACCCAGGUGGUGUGAGAUGGAUCCGCGUCUGAUUAGCCAGUUGGCGGGUAACGGCCCACCAAAGCGACGAUCAGUAGCCGACCUGAGAGGGUGACCGGCCACAUUGGGACUGAGACACGGCCCAAACUCCUACGGGAGGCAGCAGUGGGGAAUAUUGCACAAUGGGCGAAAGCCUGAUGCAGCGACGCCGCGUGAGUGAAGAAGUAUCUCGGUAUGUAAAGCUCUAUCAGCAGGGAAGAAAAUGACGGUACCUGACUAAGAACGCCCGGC
rnacentral:rRNA from 1 species